rnacentral:rRNA from 1 species
AGAGUUUGAUCCUGGCUCAGGAUGAACGCUGGCGACGUGGAUAAGGCAUGCAAGUCGAGUGGGUUUAGACCCACGGCGAACGAGGUAGUGACACGUAGGAACGUACCCCCAUAGUCGAGCAUAACCAGUCGAAAGAUUGGAUAAUUCUCGAUAGUCUCUUCGGAGUAAAGAUUUAUCGCUAUGGGAACGGCCUGCGGGGUAUCAGCUUGUUGGUAGGGUAAUGGCCUACCAAGGCAAUGACGUCUAGGGGAGGUGAGAGCCUGGCCCCCACCGAUGGUACUGAGACACGGACCAUACACCUACGGGUGGCCGCAGUCGAGAAUCUUCCGCAAUGGGCGAAAGCCUGACGGAGCGACGUCGCGUGAUGGAUGAAGCACUUAGGUGCGUAAACAUCUUUUAUGAGGGAAGAAACUAUUUAAAUAGUGUGACGGUACCUCAUGAAUAAGGGGUUGCUAAACUCGUGCCAGCAGCAGCGGUAAUACGAGUACCCCAAGCGUUAUCCGGAAUUACUGGGCGUAAAGGGUGUGUAGGCGGUUAUGUUAGUCUUUUGUUAAAGCCUCGGGCUUAACUGAGAAAUGCAGAAGAAACGGCAUAACUAUGAGAGUGUGAGAGGUUUGUGGAACUCAUGGUGUAGGGGUGAAAUCCGUUGAUAUCAUGGGGAACGCCAAAAGCGAAGGCAGCAAACUGGCACAUAUCUGACGCUGAGACACGAAAGCGUGGGUAGCGAACGGGAUUAGAUACCCCGGUAGUCCACGCCCUAAACGAUGUUCUCUCGCUUUUCGGAGUAUCGACCCUCUGAGAGGCCAAGCUAACGCGUUAAGAGAACCGCCUGGGAAGUACGGCCGCAAGGCUAAAACUCAAAAGAAUAGACGGGGACUUGCACAAGCGGUGGAUCAUGUGGUUUAAUUCGAUACUAAACGAAGAACCUCACCAAGAUUUGAAACCCAAACGACGUAUUUAGGAAACUUUAUAUUUCUUCACAAGAGACGGUUGGGCAGGUGAUGCAUGGCUGUCGUCAGUUCGUGGUUUGAAUUGUUCCCUUAAGUGGGGUAACGAACGCAACCCUUAUCGUCUGUUAUACGUGUCAGGCGAGACUACCUAUCUUUGAUAGGAGGAAGCAAGGAUGACGCCAAGUCAGCAUGUCCCUUUGACAUCUUGGGCUACACACAUGAUACAAUGGUCACUACAACGGGUCGCGAUGGGGUAACCCUGAGCCAAUCCUAAUAAAGGUGGCCCCAGUUCGGAUUGAGGUCUGCAACUCGACCUCAUGAAGUUGGAAUCGCUAGUAAUCGCGGGUCAGCUAUACCGCGGUGAAUACGUUCUCAAGUCUUGUACUCACUGCCCGUCAAGCCAAGGGAGCCGGGAAUACCCAAAGUCUCACUUUUUGUGGGCCUAAGGUAAGUUCGGUAACAAGGGUUAAGUCGUAACAAGGUAACC